GGAUCCAGAUUUGAUCCUGGCUCAGGAUGAACGCUAGCUACAGGCUUAACACAUGCAAGUCGAGGGGAAACGACAUCGAAAGCUUGCUUUUGAUGGGCGUCGACCGGCGCACGGGUGAGUAACGCGUAUCCAACCUGCCCAUCACUUGGGGAUAACCUUGCGAAAGUAAGACUAAUACCCAAUGAUAUCUCUAGAAGACAUCUGAAGGAGAUUAAAGAUUCAUCGGUGAUGGAUGGGGAUGCGUCUGAUUAGCUUGUUGGCGGGGUAACGGCCCACCAAGGCGACGAUCAGUAGGGGUUCUGAGAGGAAGGUCCCCCACAUUGGAACUGAGACACGGUCCAAACUCCUAC
rnacentral:rRNA from 1 species